UUAAAGGCAAGGAAAGCUUUCAAGCUAAUAAGCUACUUAAGAAAGAAACUAAAGAAAGAAAAGAAUUGAAAAGACAGAAAGGAAAGAGUACAAAGAGAGAUACGGAAAGGUUGAAAAGCAGGGGAUAGGACAGUAAUAGGAUGGCAUUUCCCGUAUGAAUGGAUUAGGUAUAGGUGGAAGGAGAUGAAAGCUGGCGCAUAAGUAAUGUAAUGAUGGCUAAGGGCUUUCUUUUUACCGGUUUGAAAGGAAGAGUGUGCCAUGGUGAAAUGCAAGACAGAACAGAAAGCAAGGAAGGUGAAACGGUGUUGGCAAAAUCCAAUACAGAAUGUCCCGAGGGGGCAUUGUUGAAUGAAUUGACUUCGGUUUGAUUUCCUGAAACACAAGCGGAUCGGAACAAUAGAACUAAUAAUAGAAUAAACAGAGAAUAAAGAAAAUAUUUGAGAACUCGGGAAAGGAGAAU
rnacentral:lncRNA from 1 species